rnacentral:rRNA from 1 species
AUUGAACGCUGGCGGCAUGCCUUACACAUGCAAGUCGAACGGUAACGCGGGGCAACCUGGCGACGAGUGGCGAACGGGUGAGUAAUGCAUCGGAACGUGCCCAGUAGUGGGGGAUAGCGCGACGAAAGUCGAAUUAAUACCGCAUACGACCUAAGGGUGAAAGGGGGGGAGUCGCAAGACCUCUCGCUAUUGGAGCGGCCGAUGUCAGAUUAGGUAGUUGGUAGGGUAAAAGACCUACCAAGCCUAUGAUCUGUAGCUGGUCUGAGAGGACGACCAGCCACACUGGGACUGAGACACGGCCCAGACUCCUACGGGAGGCAGCAGUGGGGAAUUUUGGACAAUGGGCGGCAAGCCUGAUCCAGCCAUGCCGCGUGCGGGAAGAAGGCCUUCGGUUGUAACCG